rnacentral:rRNA from 1 species
UAGGAUAGAGGCCUACCAUGGUGGUAACGGGUAACGGGGUGUUAGGGCACGACACCGGAGAGGGAGCCUGAGAAACGGCUACCACAUCCAAGGAUGGCAGCAGGCGCGCAAAUUACCCAAUCCCGACACGGGGAAGUAGUGACAAUAAAUAACAAUACGGGGUUCUUUCGGAUCUCGUAAUUGGAAUGAGUACAAUUUAAAUCUCUUAACGAGGAACAAUUGGAGGGCAAGUCUGGUGCCAGCAGCCGCGGUAAUUCCAGCUCCAAUAGCGUAUAUUAAAGUUGUUGCAGUUAAAAAGCUCGUAGUUGAAUUUCGGGGUUAGUAGGUUGGUCAUGCCUCUGGUAUGUACUGGUCUCACUGAUUCCUCCUUCCUGAUGAACCGUAAUGCCAUUAAUUUGGUGUUGCGGGGAAUUUGGACUGUUACUUUGAAAAAAUUAGAGUGUUUAAAGCAAGCUAACGCUUGAAUACAUUAGCAUGGAAUAAUGAAAUAGGACGUUCGAUCCUAUUUUGUUGGUUUCUAGGAUUGACGUAAUGAUUAAUAGGGAUAGUUGGGGGCAUUAGUAUUCAAUUGUCAGAGGUGAAAUUCUUGGAUUUAUUGAAGACUAACUACUGCGAAAGCAUUUGCCAAGGAUGUUUUCAUUAAUCAAGAACGAAAGUUAGGGGAUCGAAGACGAUCAGAUACCGUCGUAGUCUUAACCAUAAACUAUGCCGACUAGG